ACUCUGGUUAGGAUUAGGCAGCACAAUGCUGAUGGGAAUAGUUAAUACCUUUUUCCCGGGCAUGAUGUGAGAAGUCGGUGCCAAACUCCGCCUUGGUUCCCCAAAGGAUAAAGCAUGAAUGGAUGGGCAGAUGAUGUCCAGAAUGAAUCCAUCCUCCAUCAUGAACCGUUUAGGGCAGUGGCUUCUUCUAUUGAUGGUCUUAAUGGGAUCUAUUGCUGGGCAGGAAGUGCCUGUCCCACUGAUCAAGAGGAUGUGUGCCAGCUGGCGAGGGAUCUGCCGCCGUUCCUGCUUGUCCCAUGAGAUGCACCUUGGCGUCCAUGGCUGUCCCCGUCAUUACAGGUGCUGUGUGCUGAGGAUGUAGCACCCUAAGCGGCAACGAAAGACUCUCCAUUUGCGCCCAGGAGAGUAUGAGCAGCCUAGAACGAAAGUGAAUCAGAGAAAUAUUCUUGGAAGACAAAGAACUGAAAAAUGUUCCACAAAACGAUGAAGAUGUUGCAAGUUAAAAUGCAUUUGUUCAGUGUGGGACACUGCUUUAUUUGAAUGAAAGUUGGCAAAUUUGGAACCGUUAGUCAUUAUCAUUUUACUGGGGAAAAAACCAGAUAUUUUUGGAAAGGCAAAAUAUGACCUUUUAGAGAUCAUAACCUUUUGGAAAACCUGGAAUCUCAAUAGCCAUUUGGAAGAUUAACUGGCAUUCAAAGUAUUUGGAAUAAUCAUAACCUUUUGUAAAGUAUGACCUUUCUGAGAAGAGUUAAAAACUCAUUUGAGUCAAUCUUCUCCUUAGUGGUAAAUAUCCACUAGUAUUCAUGCAAGAAAAAUUAGGGUUCUCAGUUGUUAGACUGAUAUACCUAGUUAUCUCUCUGAACUGUUAGGAACUAAGAUAAGUCAAUACACAAAAUAUAAAGCAGAUCUUCAGAAGUGUCAGUUGACCAAAAAACAUCUACUCUCCCACAAAAUAUAUUGGUUUUUAAAUCAUGCUCUCAAGAGACCCAAAAUAGAUAGUCUUCAUUAAAAGUAAUAUAGUUGAUUUACUUACAGACUUCAUGUAUUCAGCAUAGUUAAAUUUCUUAAUGGUUGAUAGUUUAAACAGUAAGUUAUCUAAAGCAUUCUGUUUUAGUGUCUUCUUUGUUGCAUACAGACUCCCUUCACUCUCUUCAGUCUAAUACAUAAUUGAACAUUGACUCAAUACAGACUGACUACACACUGCAGCAUACUAACACUGAUUACUGCAUACUAAUGUCCCUGACUUCAUAAACUAUAGUGACUCCUAAAAUGGAGUCUUAGUCUGAAUAGUCCCAGAUCUGGCCACAUGGUCUGUAGUCCCACUCACAACCUCAAACAACAUAGAGUUAAGGAAAAUGCAUAUCUAUAUAUAUAAAUUUGUUCUGACCAUUUCUACUUUAAUUAUAACAGAGAAACUACACAUCCCAGAACCACGAAACUUGGCCACAAAAGACAUGGUCCUCCCCACUGUGUUUAGACAACAAAACAAAAAAACAAACAAACUGCAAGUCCCUCAAAAUCCCAAAAAAACUGGGAAAAUCCAUGUGCGCAUGCGCCAAGCAUCCCCCACCCUUGGAAAACAAGCAUGCAAGGCAGCUCUGCGCAACCAUCGUAACUGUUGGAAAAACCGGACAACGUGACAAAAGGGAGAAGGGCUCAAACACACUCAAUAUAUACAUACAAUAUAGUAAGCAAUCACAACUGGAUACAUAACAAAUAACAAGUAUAGGAAGCUUGUAGAAAGUUGCUAUUUUCAACAGAUAUCAGUGAAUGAUUUAAUUGGACAGCGUAUACCUCCGGUAAUAAAAGAGAUUGUGUCUGUAUAGCUCCAAGACCAUGAAAUGUAAGACAUCUGAAACUGGGUUAAAUUGGGGAUGAGAAAACUAUGUUUGACUUGGAUUUGUGUGCAUAAUGGUAUACUCUUUCCUAAUUUGUUGUACUCCAUUAAUGAUGUGCUGUACAUAAUGUGCCAGGUGAGGUCACAAAUACAAGUAUACAAUUGUAUGCUGGAGAUGCUUAA